AGAACCAGAAAUAGCAAGUGGAAGGAUGGAAUGAAAGACUGGAACACUGGAUGCUGAUGCUACAACACAUGUGGAAGCCAUGAAAUAAGUGGGAUCAGCAGAAGGAAGCAGAAGGAACCUCUUCUCACCUCUUGGCAGCGGAACACUCCUUUGGAACAGGCCAUGUGGGACGUGUCUGACCCGGCAACAGAACCAAACCUGUCCACUUGUAGUCUCCAUGUUAAUCUGUAUUUUCCUACAAAUUCAGGUAAAAAUGUGUCUGUCCCCAAGGGCUGUGCAGUACAAUCUCUGUGCAUGCAGUAGGCCUGCCAGCUGCUGGCAUUCAGUGAGAUGAGCCAAUGGCUUAUACCUCUGCAAGUAAAACAAAUCAAAAAGCCCCUGGAAUUUACUUAUUUUAUCCUCUUCGGAUGGGCUUCAAACUUCUUUCUUACCAGCUACAUUUGUUUGUCCAACAAACCAUACUACCUCUCCACAAAAACUUUGCCUAACGGUUUGUAAUCAAGCUUUUGUUUAGAUUAAUUCAGUAGUAACAUUUUUUCAGCUGUUUGCAUUUGAGUGAUAUCUGCUUUGGGAAUAAUCUAGGUCUAAUAAUGAAAACUUGAAAACAUUCAACUUGCCUGCUGACUCUGCACUACCUAAUACAGCUGUAUCCUUCCUUUCAGGAGAGAUGCUACCAGAUGACAAAGGCUUCCCAACUAUCCCGUGAGCCUAGUUAUUUGGAAAAAAAAGUUCAGUUUUAACAGAUUUUGUCCCUUCUCUCUAAGCAGGAGACAAUAGGACUACUAAAUUGUGCUACUAGGUUUAAGUGUAUCUAACAGCACACAGGACAGUGGCCACGUUGAAACCAUGGUGAAUUUUAUUCACUUGUCCCCUGCUUCUGAAUUUCCUGGUUCAUUUCAUAUUUUUAUUCUUUGCAGUGGGAUUAUAAGGGCUUUAUCACCAGAGAUCUUCUUCUCCUAGGUAACAUAAAACAUGCAAGUGUUUCCAUCAUACCUGUGGAAAGUGGCCUUUGAUGCACCUCACGCAUUGUGGUUUGCUAGCUCCUGUGCCACUACUUUAUCUAGUAGUACUCUGUUUUUCAGAGGUAUGUCUCCUGAUUUGUUAAAACUUUCCUAACUACACAAAUGUGUGAAUAGCAGGUAAGCUGGAACCACUAACUUACAGUGGUGACACUUUAUCAUUCACAUUUAUUUUUCAUCAGCACUCCGUGGUUUGCAUAUUUUCCACAUAUUCCCCAUUCAAAGACUACUUAACCUCUCAAGUUCAUCUUUGGUCUGUCUGAGCACUUUCACAGCAGUUUAAGAUUAUUUAUUUUUAAAUAGGAUUGCAAAUCAUGGAAUUUUAAAAUUCUUUAUUGCCAAAUGGUGAAGACAUUUUGCUAAUGAAUUGCUGGCUUGUCUCCUUCUCUUUACAACAUUACCUAUCUUAACUAUCCAAUGGAUGUGAGUUGCAGAGGUUAGAGCAUUCUGAUGAACUGAUAGAAUUUUGAUUUCAAGUAGGAAGUAGAAAAAGGUAUAAUGAAUUAUGAAGAUAUCAUCUUAAACAAACAUUCAGAAAUACAGGUAGGAACAGACAAGAGGAGAAUGAUUCUAGUUUAAACCAGUAAAUAAAAACCAGUCAUUUAUAAUAGGCUAUGUUCUGUUCAAAAUACACAGCUCUAUCUCUUGUAAGUUUUUAUUUGAGAGGGGGAAUAUAAAGGAAAGGAAAAAGUGAGAGACCUUCUCAUCCCCAUGAUUAGCUCAGCAGAAGCCUUUGCUUAGCACACAGCAGUCAGCUCAAAUGUUAAGCGAAGCAAUGACAAGGAAGAAAAAUGACUUACUCCAUUGCUACUAAGUGAAUCAGCCACACAUCCUUAUUUGGCUAAGAGAGAUUAAUGAUGUUAACCUGUCUUAAGAAGGUUAUUAGAAAUAGAGAUGGAGAGCUCAGUCACGAACAUCAAGAACGAUCAAUGGAUGAAAAUAUUUUAUGCUGCAAGCAUGGGAAAAUGAAAUGACCUAUCUCAAAAAUGACAAGGUGAGAAAAAUAGAACAACACUGGGAAGGAAGAUAAGUCUACUUGUAUUUUCUUACAAUACUGGAAUUAAGUUAAAAGCAAAAAUAACAAUAACAAAAUCCUUUGAUGCUGUCGAAGUCUGUCUGUAGAUUUCAUUGCUACAAGAUGUUUUGCAGCGUUCACAUAACUGCUAGCCACGCAGAAUUCACAAAGUAGAGAACAUCAGAGCAGGGGAUGCUUACAAAGUAAUU